GAAUAUGAAGCGAUUAAUUGCAGUUAGUUUCGACCUGACCUUAGGUAAUUUUACCCUU
rnacentral:tRNA from 1 species